rnacentral:misc_RNA from 1 species
AACAUCGCGCACCUGCGGGAACCUGCGGAGGGAUCAUUAAAAAGAGUGUGUACCCCCCUGUAAAAUGGGUGGGUUACCUCCCGUCCUUUGUUGACCUCUUAGGAGGUUAUUUUGAACUUUUCUGCUUCGGUGGGGUUAAACCUACCGGAACACCCUCAAAUUCUGAUCAUUUAAAAAUUGUUCAGUCCCGAUUUUAAUAAAAUAAAACAAAAAACUUUUAACAAUGGAUCUCAGAUCGGA